AAUAUCUAUACUUUCGCAGAUUACAUCUACAAUAUGCAAGAUCAGACACAAUGUGUGGUGGAAGCUUCCGCUGGUUAAGUAUAUGUUAUGAAGAAGAGAAUGCAAAGGAGUUUCGAGUAAAGUGUCGAGAAGGAUCUUGCGGAAAGAGUUUUAUAUACGCGAAGGAACCUGAGAAUUUUGUCAAACACAUGAAUAGACAGCAUAGAGGCAUUGCUCUCCGUGAACUGAACGAACAAAGGCUUUAGAUGAUGACUUAUGGAUACACAUAUCACUUGCACAUAACAUGAACCAACUAUGAUUCUAUAAAGAACGACAUUGGAUUUGGAAAUAUUUGAUCACUCAUGGAGAUUCAUCUGCAAAAUGUAUUAUUUGCCUAACUAAAACUGUAAAAUUAUCUAUCAAUACUACAGAGUUAAAAGACCAUAUCGAAAAGGAACAUAAAGACAAGUGGCAUGUGAUGCUCGCAUAUGAAGCAUUACAGGCUGGAACAAACAGUCAGUCUUGGAACUAUCUUGCUACUAAGAACAAGUGGUUGAAGAAAUGUUAUGAAGAUUAUUUGAAUUUUUGAGCAGAAUGUAAACUUUGCAAAUGCAGUAAACUAUAUGUCAAAAUUGAAAACUUUAAGACACAUGUAGCGAAGCAUCAUGAGGAUUUUUGUGAUCUUGAAAAGAGCAUAGUAGCUGAAACAGCACAGCAUCAUUUAGAUUUCUCAUAUUUCAGAUAUUCCGGAAAUGAGAAAGAAAUAGAAUGUAUUUUAUGUCAUACAGUUUUUCAGAGAUGGUCAGCUUGUAAUCAUAAUUUGAUCACUCUCACAAAAGAGCAUUCUUUAAAUAUCCCUAAACAUGAUCGCUAUAUAAUUAAACAACAUUAUGCACUUAAAUAUAUUAAACAAACUGCAGACUAUGCGACAUGUAGGAUUUGUGAUACAUAUGUAGACUGAAUGUAAUAUGGUCUUUUUAACAAAGCAUUGGCAAAUAGCACAUACAGAGAAUUUGAAAAGAAUACAAGAAAAAAUAAAACAAAAAGCAGCAAACGGUCAAGCUGUACAAUCGACAAGCUAUGAAAAUUGGAAGAAAGACGAUCAUUCAUCUACAGAGUUCGACAAUGGAAAUGAUGAUAAGGGCAUUUUUGAGCAGCAUCCCAUGAUCAACUAUAACGACAAUCUUGACUUUGACAAGUGAUUUGAAACAUAUGAAGGCAUUAGCAUAUUUUGACUUAUUUGUCGCAUAUCGGUUUUGUGUUUAUAAAUGUACACAAUUGGUAAAUUUAAAUAUAUAUGUUUAUAAAUUUAUG
rnacentral:lncRNA from 1 species